rnacentral:snRNA from 1 species
GGGCUUGCCUUGGCAGCACACAUACUAAAAUUGGAAUGAUAGACAAUUAGCAUGGCCCCUGCACAAGGAUGACUUGCAAAUUCAUUAAGAACACUUGC